AUUCUUACCUGGCUGGGGAGAUACCAUGAUUAUAAAGUGAAGGGUGUUUUCCCAGGACCAGGCUUGUCCAUUGCACUCUGGCUGUGCUGACUCCUGUGAUUUCCUCAAAUGUGGGAAACUCCACUGCAUAAUUUGUGGUAGUGUCGGACUGCAUUUGCAUUCUCCCC
rnacentral:snRNA from 1 species